rnacentral:tRNA from 1 species
GUCAGGAUAGCUCAGUUGGUNGAGCAGAGG